UUAUUUCAAUCAGUUUUUCAGUCAAUCAGUAAUAUAUAUAUUUAUAUUUAUUAUUACUAUUGUUAUUAACUUUCUUUUUUUUCCCAUCAAGGUGAAAUAAUAGCAUUCAUCUUGCACGCUUCUGGAGUUCCUGUUAAGAUUUUCAAACUAUAGGUGGAAUUUCACUCAAGUGACCAGUCAUAUCCAAUUUAUCCAGGGAAAUCUCUGAUAACAGACAGAAAGCAGAAACAUGUGUUGCCCUUGAAGUCACAUACAGGUUAACCACUCCCUUUUUUCUGCCCAAGUCUGUGUGUCCAGGAUCCUCUUAGCUGCCCAGGUAGGGUGUGCUUCUUCCCUUCCCAUUGGGACAACAGUACUGGGGGAUGAUGGGGACCAGGGUGACAUAGGGUGUCUCAGACGUCGUUACACAAAUACAGGGACAGAAGCAUGAGCCUGACAAUGCAGCACUUCUCACAACCUGCUACAGUGGUUAUUUGGUUGUUCAACAUAGUCCUGUUUUGGUCAGAAGUGCAGAGUGCACACCUGUGUUGUAAGGGAUCUUAAGUUCCUUCAUUAUUUCUUGAAUUUUAUUGAACUUGCUUAAUGUUGCCGCAUAUUAGACUCUCAAUUGCCUGACUGAUAAUUAGUUUUUUGUUGUUGUUGUUGUUUUCUCUGCAUCUUAUAAUGUGAGCUGGAAGUUGUUGCAACAGAGUCUCACAGAAUGGUUGAGGUUGGAAGGGCCGUCUGUGUCCCUCAGGCCCAAGCCCUGCUCCAGCAGGGGCACCCAGAGCAGGGUGCCCAGGGCCACAUCUAGGUGGCUUUGGAAGAUCUCCAAGGAGGAAACCCCACAGCCUCUGGGCAGCCUGUGCCAGUGCUUCGUCACCUGCACAGUACAGCAGUACUCCUGGUGGUCAGAGGGAACCUCCUGUGUGCCAGUUUCUGCCCAUUGCUUCUUAUUUUAAAGCUAUGCAGGUGAACAUCCCCUCCUUAUAAUCUUGCAUCGUAGUGAUCAGAUAAUGCAAGAUGUAUCUUUCUUUCCCUUUUAGAAGGGUGCAAACAAGAAAGAGGUUUUUUUCUUUCUAACUCUGUCCCUCAGGCAGAGUAAACUAGGAUUGCUGCAAUUUAAUUUGAGGGGAUGAAACUACACAGAUAUGCAGCAGCUAACAAUUAGACCUAAUAUACUUUAUUGAGGUUGGGACUCAAAUCAUAACCAUACAUUUACUGAUGUCUUUAUCACUGAGAAAACUUUAUUUUGGUCAGUAGAAAAUUGAUCUGAGUACUGUUCUGCAUCAUAGGCUUCAUGGGAUUGGCAUGUUUUGGAAAAAAUGCUAAAGAAACACAUUUAAACCUGAGGUGGGAGAAAGACCUCAGAUUCCUGUAGUCACU
ensembl:lncRNA